AGAAGUAUCUUGGAUUUGCAAUUUUAGAAGAAUGGUUAGGAAAAGCGUCACUGAAAAGAUGGCAUUUGAGUUAAGAUGAGAUAAAUGUGAGGAAACAACCUAUAAAGAUAGCUGGAAAAUGUGCAUUCCAGCCUAGGAAGUGACAAUUUCAAGGAACCAAGAGGGAAUAAUGAGUUUGAAGAAGAGUGGGCAGAGAGGGGUGUAUCAAGAGGUGAGCUCAUAAAGGAUGGAAGUGACAAAGGGUAGGGUCUUGUGCUUCAUUGAAAAGGACUUAGCACUUUUAUUCUGAGUGAAAAAUAUGACCAUUGGAUAGUUUCGAGUAGAGGACAGAAACAAUCCAACUUAUGAUUUUGGUAAACUCACUUUUACGAGGCAACAUGUGUAAGUGAAAGACAAAGAAAACUGAGAAAGGCUACUUGGGAGGAUAUUGAGAUAAUACCUAUAAAAAAGGUGAUGAGUUUGUGUAAGAGUGCUUAUAGUGAAGACAGUGAAAGCCGGUGAUAGUCUGGAUAAUUUUUGAAGGUAGAGAUGACUGGAUUUAUUUUGCACAGAGUAGAAAGUCACUUUUGCUCAACUACUUUAACUGUUGGGAAUACAAUGGGCAAGGUAAUUAGGAAAAAUGAGAAAUUUUGUAACAGUGAGUUAUAUGGCAGAUAGUGGCUCAAAUUGUUAUGGGGUUCUUUGGAAAAACACAUCACAGUAAAACUUGGCAGUAAUUAUUUUGAUGAGCUGAAUAUGAUAUAACAAUGAUUAUAUCUAUAUAGCAUGGACUAUAUUUACCUUAAAAUUUUAGCCAUAUGACCUUAAGUGUCUUAUUUGCAAUACUUAUUUUUAUUAUCUGAAAAAAAGACCAACAAUGCCAAGAUCACAGUAUAAUUCUGAAUAUUAUGCAAUCUGAGUUAUUCAUUGCAAUGAUUGUAGUCUAGGAAAUUAUGAUGAAAUAUUACUAUCCAUUCCAUUAAGCUUAUAAUGGCCUCAGAAAUGUGCUGGGUUUAAGAUUAAUAUAUGUUAUGACCUUAAAUACCUUGUAUUAGAAUAGAAAAACACUGGACUUGAAAUUAAAAGACCUAAGUUCAAACAUGGUAGUCAUUUACCCAGCCUUAUGGUUUGUAGAUAUAAGGCUAAUUCAGGUCUCAUGGCUUCAGUCCAGUGGAAAUUAUAUGAUCAUAGCAUAUCUUUCUAACUUUCUGUCGAAAAGCAGGAUAGACUGACAAAUUAGAGUGGUAGCCAAUGUUUCCAGGUAGCUUAUUUUUGAAUAAAUGGAUGAAUUUACAUUUGAAUAUUCAAGGGGCUUUUGAUAUACUGAAAUAUAGAGAAACAAUAUCCUUCUCUACCAGAAGAUAUUCUCUAUACAAACACAUGAUGUUGGAACCAAAUUUAAGAAAAUUUUAAUUUUAUAAUGUCUUUUACCAUUUAGAAGCAUUGAUGCAUAAUCUGUUAGUUACUAUAAUGCAUUGUAUUCGAACCCUCCUUCCACCUCAACAGAAAGAAUGAAAAAUAAUUAAUUGUUGAAAAAUAGAACCUCUCAUGUGGAAAUGCAUUCCCAUGUGGUUCCUAUGAAGCAUUUCUAGGGAAGAAGUGACCUCGUAUAAUGGAGGAGGCAUCUUGUGUGAUAUCAUGAAGUGGAUCAUAAUACCGUUUAUGUGGUAUCAUGAAGAGAUAAAAGUUGUGUGUCUUAGUUUGUUAUCAAGAACCAAGGACAUUGUUAGAAGAGGCUGGCACCUCAGUAAGUUUUCUUGGGUAUGUGGCUUGUUCAUGUAGUCACCAAUGAGCAGAAUAAAUUAAUUUUGUUAAUUAGAAAUCAAAGCUUUGGUGCUUGGCACCACUGCAAAUAACAAUGGCAAACUCCAAAAUGAUAUUAAUUUGUGGGUUAUAGGGGUUACUUCAGGCCUUCCAAACAUCUGCUAGAGUCAAAGUAACUGGCAAGAAAAUGAGUGCAAACCAAGAAAUUUAUUUUUAUGGCUGGAUAAUUAAGCAAAGAAAAUUAGGUCAAAGAGAUUCCCUGUUGCUGGAACAGCAUCCAGAAGAUCAUUUAAAGUUAAAAUAGAGACAAACGGUUUAUAUGCCUCAGCAUUUUCUGAAUUGUCUUUCCCUAUAAUUCCUUUUCUGUGAAAUGUUAAGAAAUGAUUUGUUUCAAAAAGUUUUUUUAGGUCAAGAAAUAUUGCCACCUGUUAGUUAAAUCCUCUCUAUAAUUAGUUUAACUGAAAAACCUCUGUGAAUCUCUAGUAGACCUAUAGUAUGAAAACAUCUCCGAUAUACUUGACAAUGAAAUCCUUUAGCAUUUUGUCUAUUUCUUUUUUUAAAUUAUUGCUCUUAAUUUCAGACAGAAUCUGUGAGUUCCCAUCGUGGCACAGUGGUUAAUGAAUCUGACUAGGAACCAUGAGGUUGCAGGUUCGGUCCCUGCCCUUGUUCAGUGGGUUAACGAUCUGGCGUUGCCAUGAGCUGUGGUGUAGGUUGCAGACGCAGCUCAGAUCCUGCGUUGCGGUGGCUCUGGCGUAGGCUGGUGGCUACGGCUCUGAUUAGACCCCUAGCCUGGGAACCUCCAUAUGCUGUGGGAACGGCCCAAGAAAU
rnacentral:lncRNA from 1 species